rnacentral:rRNA from 1 species
UACGGGGGGGGGCAAGCGUUGUUCGGAAUUACUGGGCGUAAAGGGCUCGUAGGCGGCCAACUAAGUCAGACGUGAAAUCCCACGGCUUAACUGUGGAACGGCUGGGCAUACUGGCGGUCUUGAGCCAUCUAGGGGCGACUGGAACAAACGGUGGAGCGGUGAAAUGCGUAGAUAUCGUUUGGAACGCCAAUGGUGAAAACAGGUCGCUGGGGAUGCGCUGACGCUGAGACACGAAAGCCAGGGGAGCAAACGGG